rnacentral:rRNA from 1 species
AAACCAACUGGGAUUACCUUAGUAACGGCGAGUGAAGCGGUAAAAGCUCAAAUUUGAAAUCUGGUACUUUCAGUGCCCGAGUUGUAAUUUGUAGAAUUUGUCUUUGAUUAGGUCCUUGUCUAUGUUCCUUGGAACAGGACGUCAUAGAGGGUGAGAAUCCCGUUUGGCGAGGAUACCUUUUUCUGUAAGACUUUUUCGAAGAGUCGAGUUGUUUGGGAAUGCAGCUCAAAGUGGGUGGUAAAUUCCAUCUAAAGCUAAAUAUUGGCGAGAGACCGAUAGCGAACAAGUACAGUGAUGGGAAGAUGAAAAGAACUUUGAAAAGAGAGUGAAAAAGUACGUGAAAUUGUUGAAAGGGAAGGGCAUUUGAUCAGACAUGAUGUUUUUGCAUGCACUCGCCUCUCGUGGGCUUGGGCCUCUCAAAAAUUUCACUGGGCCAACAUCAAUUCUGGCAGUAGGAUAAAUCAUUAAGAAUGUAGCUACCUCGGUAGUGUUAUAGCUUAUUGGAAUACUGCU